UACGUAGGGAGCAAGCGUUAUCCGGAUUUAUUGGGUGUAAAGGGCGCGUAGACGGUUUGGCAAGUUGGUUGUGAAAUCCCCGGGCUUAACUUGGGAACUGCAACCAAAACUGUUAGACUUGAGUGUUGGAGAGGAAAGGGGAAUUCCUAGUGGAGCGGUGAAAUGCGUAGAUAUUAGGAGGAACACCAGUGGCGAAGGCGGCUUUCUGGACCAUAACUGACGUUGAGGCGCGAAAGUGUGGGGAGCAAAC
rnacentral:rRNA from 1 species